UGGACCACUCCGGGCAUCGUCACGGGGAGGUGAUGCCUCGACCACUCCGGGCAUCGCCACGCCGAGGUGAUGCCAGGACCGCGCCGGGUUGCUCCGAGCAUCCUCUCGUCGCGGCGAUGCUCGGAGCGCUCCGGGCGUCACCGCGGGCACGGGGGGCUGUGGUCGGGCUGCGCUGGAACGGCCCCUGCUCGGACCUGCCUCUGCCCUCCUUGGCGGCAGCCUCGGACCCACCUUUCAGCCCUCCUGGGACCCACCACCCCUCAGCUCUAUCUGCAGACCCUCCCCAAGCUGCCCAGGUUGUGUCCAACACCCCCCUGUGUUCUCAUCCCCCCUUUGCCCAGCAGCCGCCCUGGCAGAAGCCUCGGGGAGGUCCCAGGUCCCCUCGGCGAGGCUGGGGGGACACACAGCCCUCUCUGCACCCCAGAACCCCCAGACACGUGUAAAUAGCAUUUUUUUCCCCUUCAUUUUGCAGUUCCCACAAGGCACGAGAGCCCGUCGAGCCCCUGCAUCCUCACCAUGUCCUUUGUUACAAGUGGUUCCUAAUAACCAGCCCUUUUUAAGAGGAGACAACACCAACAGCAAUUUCAAAGCCCACACAGAACUUUGUCUGCAAGGACUGAAACCCAAUAUCUGGAAGACUCAGAAGGAAUGCAAAUAAGUAUUUAAUUUCUUUCUUUUGAAGCCCUCUCUGCUUUGUUUGUGCCAUAUAUAGCAGGUGCCUGAGCAGCUUUCAUUCUUUUAUUAUCCCUUGCACCCAUUUCUGAGCACAGGAACAGCAAUUUGCUCACUUUGA